GGGAAAGAGCCCAGCUUGAAAAUCGCGGCGCCUCCGGCGCCUCGAGUUGUAGUCUGGAGAAGGUCCCUCUGCGGCGCGCCGGACCCAAGUUCCCUGGAAAGGGACGUCCGAGAGGGUGACAACCCCGUCGAGUGCGGAGUGCGCCGCUCCACGAGGACCUGUCUGCGAGUCGGGCUGUUUGGGAAUGCAGCCCUAAGCGGGUGGUAAAUUCCAUCCAAGGCUAAAUAUGGGCAAGAGACCGAUAGCGAACAAGUACCGCGAGGGAAAGAUGAAAAGGACUUUGAAAAGAGAGUUAAAAAGUGCUUGAAAUUGCUGGGAGGGAAGCGAAUGGAAGCUGCGGGUGCGCCCCGGUUGGAUGCGGAACGGCCGCGGACAGCGGCUGGUCCGCCGCUCAACGCGGGGCGCUGGUCAGCGUGGGCCGUCGCGGCGGGACAAGAGCGGGGAUUCGCUUCCCGCCGAUGCCGCCGCGGCGGCCGAGGAACGAAGCGCGCGCGCCCUUUUCGGAGGCAGCGCGUGGGGUUUUUUUAUCCCUAACUGCGCGCUCGGGACGCUGGCGUAUUGAGCUCUUCAUCCGACCCGUCUUGAAACACGGACCAAGGAGUCUAACAUGUAUGCGAGCCGGUGGGCGGCAAACCCAUUGAGGCGCAAGUAACCUGACAGGUGGGACCCCGUCCUUUUCAUCGGGCGGGAGCACCAUCGACCGACCGUGAUCUUCUGUGAAAGGUUUGAGUGCGAGCAUACCCGUUGAGACCCGAAAGAUGGUGAACUAUGCCUGAGCAGGGCGAAGCCAGAGGAAACUCUGGUGGAGGCUCGUAGCGAUACUGACGUGCAAAUCGUUCGUCAGAGAAGGGUAUAGGGGCGAAAGACUAAUCGAACCAUCUAGUAGCUGGUUCCCUCCGAAGUUUCCCUCAGGAUAGCUGGAGCUCGCGCAAGAGUUUUAUCAGGUAAAGCGAAUGAUUAGAGCGCAUCGGGGGUGCAACACCCUCGAGCCUAUUACUCAAACUUUAAUAUAGGUAAGCCGCCCGGGG
rnacentral:rRNA from 1 species